rnacentral:rRNA from 1 species
AUUGAACGCUGGCGGCAGGCCUAACACAUGCAAGUCGAGCGGAUGAAGGGAGCUUGCUCCUGGAUUCAGCGGCGGACGGGUGAGUAAUGCCUAGGAAUCUGCCUGGUAGUGGGGGAUAACGUCCGGAAACGGGCGCUAAUACCGCAUACGUCCUGAGGGAGAAAGUGGGGGAUCUUCGGACCUCACGCUAUCAGAUGAGCCUAGGUCGGAUUAGCUAGUUGGUGGGGUAAAGGCCUACCAAGGCGACGAUCCGUAGCUGGUCUGAGAGGAUGAUCAGUCACACUGGAACUGAGACACGGUCCAGACUCCUACGGGAGGCAGCAGUGGGGAAUAUUGGACAAUGGGCGAAAGCCUGAUCCAGCCAUGCCGCGUGUGUGAAGAAGGUCUUCGGAUUGUAAAGCACUUUUAGUUGGGAGGAAGGGCAGUAAGUUAAUACCUUGCUGUUUUGACGUUACCAACAGAAUAAGCACCGGCUAACUUCGUG